rnacentral:lncRNA from 1 species
AUGAAAUUUUCCCACUCUAAAUCUGAAUUAUUAUUUUUGCUAUUUAUACUAUUUUUGCUACUUUUGCUAUUUUUGCUACUUUUACUACUUUUGCUAUUUUUGCUACUUUUGCUAUUUAUACUAUUUUUGCUAUUUAUACUAUUUUUGCUACUUUUGCUACUUUUGCUAUUUUUGCUACUUUUGCUAUUUUUGCUACUUUUGCUACUUUUGCUACUUUUGCUACUUUUGCUACUUUUACUACUUUUGCUACUUUUACUACUUUUGCUACUUUUACUACUUUUACUACUUUUGCUAUUUAUACUAUUUAUACUGUUUAUACUGUUUGUUCUAUUUUUUCUAUGUACGUUAUUUAUGUUAUUUAUUUUAUUUUUUUUACUUUUCUUAGUUGCGCUAUUUAUACUAGUUAUACUAUUUAUACUAGUUAUACUGUUUAUACUAUUUAUACUGUUUAUACUAUUUAUACUAUUUGUUCGAUUUAUUUUAUUAAUUUUAUUAAUUUUAUUUAUUUUAUUUGUUUUAUUAAUUUUAUUAGUUUUUUUAAUGUUACUUAUGUUAUUUACGCUGUUUAUACUAUUUAUACUAUUUAUGCUAUUUGCGCUAUGUAUACUAAUUAUACUGUUUAUACUACUUCUAUUACUUUUACUACUUCUAUUACUUUUGCUACUUCUAUUACUUUUACCAUCUCUAUUACUUUUACCAUCUCUAUUACUUUUGCUACUUCUAUUACUUUUGCUACUUCUUUUAGUUUUUAUAUUUUCGUCCUGUUCGUCCAUUCCGUUCUGUUUGUUUGUUUGUUUGUUUGUUUUUUUUUUUAUAAAACUUGUAGUUUCAUUUUUACUAAUACUAUUCUCACUGAUUCUAUCUUCACUUAUUCUGCUUUCGUUAGUUAUGCUUUCGAUCAUACCACUGUUUAUCUCUACGUUCUCGCUUCUGUCUGUAUUUUCACCUAAAAUCUCUUUUGUACUCGAUUCUAAAUAUUUUUCAUUCAUUUCUGUUUCCGUCCUGUUACUAUAUUCUUCUACAUCCAUAUUUAUUAAUGUUUUUUUUUUUUUUUUUUUAUUUGUAUUAUAUAUUUUUUUAUUUAUACUUUUUUUGUUUUUAUUAUUUAUAUUAUCGAUGUCAUUUUUUUUACUUUUCUUACCGGAUUCGCUACUGUUACUGUAG